rnacentral:lncRNA from 1 species
UUCAUUCUUCCCUGCUAUGACAUCGAACAAUGAGCUGCGCAUCUGAUUAUACUGAAAACAAAAAAGGCAAGAAAGGGAGAAGCCCAAUAAAUUUAACGUGGGAGGUGGGCUGCAAGGGCAUCUGCAAUGCUAACACAAUCAAGCUCUGUGAGGCAGGUCAAGCUGCAAAGGAGUGACUGUCCCGAGGCCUCCCACUGAAUUUCAAUGUGCUCCUGGUCCCACUCUCUUUCAGAAGGGCUCUGUCCACUUUAAGCAAAGCAAGGUCGUCAGGCAGUUAUUUUAUGUCCACCACAUUAGACAGAACAGCUGUGAACUCCUUUCCACAGAUGUGGUGAGAGCAACAAUGAAUCUUGUGGCAUCUUAAAAAUUGACAGGUUUUACAUGUCAUAAGCUUUUGAGGUAACUUUUAUGGUUUCAAAUUUUAGAUUUCACGAACUACACUCCACAAAACU